rnacentral:rRNA from 1 species
AGUGAACGCUGGCGGUAGGCCUAACACAUGCAAGUCGAACGGCAGCACAGUAAGAGCUUGCUCUUACGGGUGGCGAGUGGCGGACGGGUGAGGAAUACAUCGGAAUCUACUUUUUCGUGGGGGAUAACGUAGGGAAACUUACGCUAAUACCGCAUACGACCUACGGGUGAAAGCAGGGGAUCUUCGGACCUUGCGCGAUUGAAUGAGCCGAUGUCGGAUUAGCUAGUUGGCGGGGUAAAGGCCCACCAAGGCGACGAUCCGUAGCUGGUCUGAGAGGAUGACAGGCACCCUGGGAAAUGGAACCGGGCCCAGCCUCCUAGGGGAGGCAGCAGGGGGGAAUAUGGGACAAGGGGCGAAAGCCUGACCCAGCAAUGCCGCGUGGGUGAAGAAGGCCUUCGGGUUGUAAAGCCGUUUUUUUGGGAAAGAAAAGAAGCGGAAUAAUCCCCGCCUGUCUUGACGGUACCAAAAAAAAAAGCCCCGGCUAACUUCGUG